rnacentral:lncRNA from 1 species
AACAUCUUGCAUUAGGGCUACUUUCUGAUAUUAGAGACAUAGAUACUUCAUAACCGUAAGCAGUGCAUUACCACCUGACUCUGCCCUCUGUCUUUGUUCCUUGGUGGCCAGGAGACUACAGUGCCUGCUAUAUAUACACCUGUGCUGUGUCCCUAGGCUUACAACGUCCAGGAUUCUUGAAGGUGAUGCUGACACUGGGAGUGGAGAUGUGGAGAAGGAUAUUGUCCUUCCUGAGAUCGGAUGGAGGCAGGGCUUUCUAUUUAUCUUGAUGACAUCCAGAGGUCACGAGAAGUGACUGACCACUGAGGCUCUGUGUGGCAUAACACAGAACAGCAUCAUCCUGUGUAUUGCAGGGCAUAUCCCCAUCCUUAAGCAGCUCUCAGGUACAACUGAACUGUUCUUGACCACACUGUAAACGGCUGCCUUUGUAUCAGCUGGACACGUAGACCUCAGGCCAGGGCUCCCGGCCAGGCUGGGGGGGGGGGAACUCAUUCAUAUCUUAGGAGUGGGGUGAGCAUCAAGUUGUUGGUUAGAAGUGAAUCCAGCCUGCAGAAGUUUAACUUUGGCUGGAGAGAAGAAAAACUGGAGCCCUAGUUGGUUCUUUGAAGGUCAUAUGCUGGUAGCUUGGCCCUCGGUAUGCUGAUGUUGAGAGGCAGUGAGGCCUAUGUGGAAGGUGUCUAAGUCAUCGAGGCAUCGCCCUUAGAAGUGAUCAAUGCUGGUUUUGUGGAGUGAGCUCUCAGGCGCAUCAGUUAAUCUGUCUGAUCUCUUCCGCACAGGGCUGCUUCUCCUCCUCCUUAUCUGCCAUGCUAUGAUGAAGCAAGAGGAGCCUUGGCUGGGAAUGCCAGUACAAUGGUCCUAGGCUUCUGAGUCAAAUAAACUUCUUUUCU